CACGUAGGGGGCGAGCGUUGUCCGGAUUUAUUGGGCGUAAAGAGCUCGUAGGCGGCUCAGUAAGUCAGGUGUGAAAACUCCAGGCUCAACCUGGAGACGCCAUCUGAUACUGCUGUGGCUAGAGUGCGGUAGGGGUGACUGGAAUUCCUGGUGUAGUGGUGGAAUGCGCAGAUAUCAGGAGGAACACCGAUGGCGAAGGCAGGUCACUGGGCCGCAACUGACGCUGAGGAGCGAAAGCAUGGGGAGCGAACAGG
rnacentral:rRNA from 1 species